rnacentral:piRNA from 1 species
UGAUAUUGAGGAUAAUAAAGCAUGGC